AAUAUAAGUCGGACGUGAAAUCCCGGGGCUCAACCCCGGAACUGCGUUCAAAAACUAUAUUUCUUGAGGGUAGACGGAGAAAGCGGAAUUCCACAAGUAGCGGUGAAAUGCGUAGAUAUGUGGAAGAACACCGGUGGCGAAGGCGGCUUUCUAGUUUAUACCUGACGCUGCAGGCGCGAAAGCAAGGGGAUCAAACAGGAUUAGAUACCCUGGUAGUCCUUGCCGUAAACGAUGUAUACUUGGUGUAGUUGGUCUCAACCCCGACUGUGCCGUAGCUAACGCGUUAAGUACACCGCCUGGGGAGUACAGUCGCAAGGCCGAAACCCAAAAGAAUUGACGGGGACCCGCACAAGCAGUGGAGCAUGUGGUUUAAUUCGAUGCAACGCGAAGAACCUUACCCAGGCUUGACAUGCAGAGGACAGAUCUAGAGAUAGAUCUUCCCUUCGGGGCUUCUGCACAGGUGCUGCAUGGCUGUCGUCAGCUCGUGCCGUGAGGUGUUGGGUUAAGUCCCGCAACGAGCGCAACCCUUAUCGUUAGUUGCCAACAGUUUGGCUGGGAACUCUAACGAGACUGCCUGGGUUAACCAGGAGGAAGGUGAGGAUGACGUCAAGUCCGCAUGGCCCUUAUGUCUGGGGCUACACACGUGCUACAAUGGCCGGUACAGAAGGAAGCGAAUCCGCGAGGUGGAGCAAAUCCGUAAAACCGGUCCCAGUUCAGAUUGUAGUCUGCAACUCGACUACAUGAAGUCGGAAUUGCUAGUAA
rnacentral:rRNA from 1 species